CAGGGUUCGAUUCCGGAGAGGGGAGCCCGAGAAACGGCUACCACUUCCAAGGAAGGCAGCAGGCGCGCAACUUACCCUAAUCUCGAUUCGAGGAGGUAGUGACAAGAAAUACCGAUGCGGGACCCUACGGGGUGCCGCGUUCGGAAUGAGUACGAUUCGAACCACCUAACGAGGAACGAUCGGAGGGCAAGUCUGGUGCCAGCAGCCGCGGUAAUUCCAGCUCCAAUAGCGUACGUUAAAGUUGCUGCAGUUAAAAAGCUCGUAGUUGAACGUUCGGGUUCCGCGGGACGGGGCCGCCCCGCGAGGGACGGCGCCGCCCCGGGGCUCGUGAUAUCUCAUCUCGCCGCCCGUCGCGAGGCGGACGGAGGGGAUGGAUGAGGUUACCUGGAAAAAAUCGGGGCGAUCUAGGCGGGCGAACCUCGCCAACGAACGAUCGGACAUGGGAUAACGGAAGAGGGCGUCGGCCGUACGUCGUUCGG
rnacentral:rRNA from 1 species